UGCGAGGGCAUAUAGCCCUCGCUUUUCUGUACCGUAAGGUGGUACAGGAACAAGGACUGGGCAAGACCGGUGCCAGCCGCCGCGGUAAUACCGGCAGUCCGAGUGAUGGCCGAUAUUAUUGGGCUAAAGCGUCCGUAGCCGGCCGGACAAGUCCGUUGGGAAAUCGACGCGCUCAACGCGUCGGCGUCCAGCGGAAACUGUCCGGCUUGGGGCCGGAAGACCUGGGGGGUACGUCCGGGGUAGGAGUGAAAUCCUGUAAUCCUGGACGGACCACCAAUGGGGAAACCACCUCAGGAAGACGGACCCGACGGUGAGGGACGAAAGCUAGGGUCUCGAACCGGAUUAGAUACCCGGGUAGUCCUAGCUGUAAACGAUGCUCGCUAGGUGUGCCGUAGGCUACGAGCCUGCGCUGCGCCCUAGGGAAGCCGAGAAGCGAGCCGCCUGGGAAGUACGUCUGCAAGGAUGAAACUUAAAGGAAUUGGCGGGGGAGCACCACAACCGGAGGAGCCUGCGGUUUAAUUGGACUCAACGCCGGACAUCUCACCGGUCCCGACAGUAGUAAUGACGGUCAGGUUGACGACUUUACCCGACGCUACUGAGAGGAGGUGCAUGGCCGCCGUCAGCUCGUACCGUGAGGCGUCCUGUUAAGUCAGGCAACGAGCGAGACCCGCACUUCUAGUUGCCAGCAAUACCCUUGAGGUAGUUGGGUACACUAGGAGGACUGCCGCUGCUAAAGCGGAGGAAGGAACGGGCAACGGUAGGUCAGUAUGCCCCGAAUGGACCGGGCAACACGCGGGCUACAAUGGCUCUGACAGUGGGAUGCAACGCCGAGAGGCGACGCUAAUCUCCAAACGGAGUCGUAGUUCGGAUUGCGGGCUGAAACCCGCCCGCAUGAAGCUGGAUUCGGUAGUAAUCGCGUGUCAGAAGCGCGCGGUGAAUACGUCCCUGCUCCUUGCACACACCGCCCGUCAAAGCACCCGAGUGGGGUCCGGAUGAGGCCAUCAUGCGAUGGUCGA
rnacentral:rRNA from 1 species